CCUACGGGAGGCAGCAGUGGGGAAUAUUGCACAAUGGGGGGAACCCUGAUGCAGCGACGCCGCGUGAGUGAAGAAGUAUUUCGGUAUGUAAAGCUCUAUCCUCAGGGAAGAAAAUGACGGUGCCUGACUAAGAAGCCCCGGCUAACUACGUGCCAACAGCCGCGGUAAUACGUAGGUGGAAAGCGUUAUCCGGAUUUACUGGGUGUAAAGGGAGCGUAGACGGUGAUGCAAGUCUGAAGUGAAAGCCCAAGGCUCAACCAUGGGACUGCAUUGGAAACUGUAAAACUGGAGUGCAGGAGAGGUAAGCGGAAUUCCUAGUGUAGCGGUGAUAUGCGUAGAUAUUAGGAGGAACACCAGUGGCGAAGGCGGAUUACUGGACGAUAACUGACGGUGAGGCGCGAAAGCGUGGGGAGCAAACAGGAUUGGAUACCCGUGUAGUC
rnacentral:rRNA from 1 species